ensembl:lncRNA SBDSP1 SBDS pseudogene 1
GCAGUAAGUAAGCCUGCCAGACACGCUGUGGCGGCUGCCUGAAGCUAGUGAGUCGCGGCGCCGCGCACUUGUGGUUGGGUCAGUGCCGCGCGCCGCUCGGUCGUUACCGCGAGGCGCUGGUGGCCUUCAGGCUGGACGGCGCGGGUCAGCCCUGGUUUGCCGGCUUCUGGGUCUUUGAACAGCCGCGAUGUCGAUCUUCACCCCCACCAACCAGAUCCGCCUAACCAAUGUGGCCGUGGUACGGAUGAAGCGCGCCAGGAAGCGCUUCGAAAUCGCCUGCUACAAAAACAAGGUCGUCGGCUGGCGGAGCGGCUUGCUUUGGAAGUGAUAAAGCAGUUAAAAGAGAAAAUGAAGAUAGAACGUGCUCACAUGAGGCUUCAGUUCAUCCUUCCAGUGAAUGAAGGCAAGAAGCUGAAAGAAAAGCUCAAGCCACUGAUCAAGGUCAUAGAAAGUAAAGAUUAUGGCCAACAGUUAGAAAUCGUAUGUCUGAUUGACCUGGGCUGCUUCCGAGAAAUUGAUGAGCUAAUAAAAAAGGAAACCAAAGGCAAAGGUUCUUUGGAAGUACUCAAUCUGAAAGAUUUGAAGAAGGAGAUGAGAAAUUUGAAUGACACCCAUCAGUCUCUUCACCUCUAAAACACUAAAGUGUUUUCGUUUCCAACAGCACUGUUUCAUGUCUGUGGUCUGCCAAAUACUUGCUCAAACUAUUUGACAUUUUCUAUCUUUGUGUUAACAGUGGACACAGCAAGGCUUUCCUACAUAAGUAUAAUAAUGUGGGAAUGAUUUGGUUUUAAUUAUAAACUGGGGUCUAAAUCCUAAAGCAAAAUUGAAACUCCAGGAUGCAAAAUCCAGAGUGGCAUUUUGCUACUCUGUCUCAUGCCUUGAUAGCUUUCCAAAAUGAAAGUUACUUGAGGCAGCUCUUGUGGGUGAAAAGUUUUUUGUACAGUAGAGUAAGAUUAUUAGGGGUAUGUCUAUACGACAAAAGGGGGGUCUUUCCUAAAAAAGAAAACAUGAUGCUUCAUUUCUACUUAAUGGAACUUGUGUUCUGAGGGUCAUUAUGGUAUCGUAAUAUAAAGCUUGGAUGAUGUUCCUGAUUAUCUGAGAAACAGAUAUAGAAAAAUUGUGUCGGACUUAAAUAAUUUUCGUUGAACAUGCUGCCAUAACUUAGAUUAUUCUUGGUUAAAAAAUAAAAGUCACUUAUUUCUAAUUCUUAAAGUUUAUAAUAUAUAUUAAUAUAGCUAAAAUUGUAUGUAAUCAAUAAAACCACUCUUAUGUUUAUUAAACUA